GGAAUUCAUUGGCAAGAUACCGAAACAUGUCAUGGAAUCCGUGAGAAAGAAGGGCAAGACCAAAGAACCGUGAGGAUACUCUGCUUUUCUGUCUGGAGGCUGGCUUCUGUCCUUCAGCAGGGACUGAAUCUCAUAUCCAAAUUCUCAGGAGAAAGAACGUGGCUUGAGAUGUCAAACCAGGGUGUUGGAGAAGGAACAGGCUGCUGUGGCUGGACCCAGCCCUUCGUGUGGAAAGGACAGUUCCCAGAAUGGAGACAGUAGCUGGGAAAAGGAGGCCUACAACUGGAAACCACACCAAUGAGGGAAGGGAGAAAUUUUUUACCAAACUCAAGUCUUGGGAAUCCCUCUGUUCACUCUGUAACUAUCUAUUCCAUCUAUGCAAAGGGCCAAAUCCAGCUUCUCGUGUGUAGAGAAGAAAGCGACCCACUAGGGAGCUCUCAGAAUCUGCCCUCUGAGCCCAUCCUUGCCCCUUCUGGACAUCGAGCUGCCUUGAUUAGGAAAAUGCACCCGUGGAGAGGGGCAGACAUCUAGCAAGACUGUGCUUCUCCAGGUAUUUUCCACUAAAUGGAAUCUGGCUCCUUAGAGAAAUGGUGGACUCCAGGUCUGAGGAAAGAAAUAUACAAGAAAGCAAUCAAAAGAACACUAGGGUCAUCAUCAAAGGAUUCAGGAACCACCUUGAAGAGACUCUCAGUGGCUAAAGAUGGGUCCAUUUUAGCGUCUAGAAGGAUGAUAAUGGCAAUUAGUUGUAACAUUUCAACUGUUUGUCAAAUGAUACGAGAAAAAUAAUUAGUCACCACUAAAACCAACUCAUUAUUUUGAAAAAUGAUAAACAGAGGGACGGAAAGAAACCGUCUUGUUUUCGCUAAGAAAUUAUACCACUGAAAAUCAAGUAGCAGAUGAGGAGGUUUUUUUCAUUAUAGAAAUAUCCUAGAUAACAAAUAGAAGGGAUGAUAAAAUUAGAAUACCAUCAUUUUGCCACCUUGGAUAAAGUAGGAUCAAGGCAUGAGCUUCAGUGGUUGCUAACAUCACAAAAAAGAGACACUAAACUAUCACUAUCUUGCUUUGAAAGAGAUAACCUGAAUCUGAUCAAACUGCUAGAAUAGAUUAAGCUACCAGCUAUCAAUUAUAAAAAAAAUACAAGAGCCCAGGAAUAUGUUCAAACAGACCUCAAGAGAAGCAGUCAGCAAAAUGUAAGGUAUGGAAAACUCUAGAUGAAAUUUUUUUUUAAAAACAAAUACAUCUCAACAAUAAGGGAAUGAAAUAGGGGUAAGUUUACAGAUUAAAAAAGACUUAAAAGAUGUAUCAACUAUCACAACAUGUGACCUUAUUUGUAUCCUGAUUUAAGUAAACUCAAACAAAAAGCUGUUUAUGCCACUUAUGAAGACAUUUGAACACUGAUUAGACAUUAAGGAAUUAUUGUAAAAUAUUUUAGAUAUGAUAACUGGUAUUUUGUCUAUGUUAAAAAUAAAGAGUCCUCUUCUUUUA